UUCUAUUAGAAUUAAUUAAUAGUAUAAUCUGCUCAAUGAUUUAAAUAGCCGCAAUUCGUGCUAAGGUAGUAUAAUAAUUCGUCUUUUAAUUAAAGACCAAACGAAAGAUUUAACAUUUUAAAUUCUAUCUAAUUUUUAAAUUUUAAAAUUACUUUAAGUAUAACAAAAUACUUAUUCUACAAAAAGACGACAAGACCCUAUUAAACUUAACUUUAGUUAAACUGGGGAAGUUAAUAAAUUAUUAUUUUAAUAAUUAUAUUUUUACAUUAAUCUAUUAAAACUAAUAGUAAACCAAGUUACUAUAGGGAUAACAGCGUAAUAAUAUUUUAAAGUUCUUAUUGAAAAUAAAGAUUGCGACCUCGAUGUUGAUUUAAUUACCUAUUUGGCGCAAAAGUUAAAUAAGUAAGUCUGUUCGACUUAUAAAAAUU
rnacentral:rRNA from 1 species